CAACCAUAUGAUGAUUUUGGAUUCAAAUUCUCACGACGGUCGUCUGAGACACUUAAACAAGUGUCGUUUCUGAUGUACUGUUCCAAUAUUUCUGAUGGUU